UUUUGAAAAAGUCCAAUUAAAAUUUUUUACCACCCCUCCUCCAUUAGAUAAGAAGCCAUUUGAUAGUAAGGACAAUAUCUAAUGCUGCAUAUAUAAAGCUUCAAAAAUAUUGGUUAAAUCAAUUGCCAGAGACGGAAAUGGGAAAGUUCCAGUUGUCCAGCAUGUAAUUUGAUAUGACCGUUGGUGUGUCUUCAGCAAGUAGAAGGGUAAAUUAAUGAAGCAAGUCACUAAAAAUUGCAUGUUCUAUUAACUAAUGAGAUGACCACAAAGAGAAGAAAAUUCAAUAGCUAAGGCAGACAAGAAAACGCAUGACCUAAAGCCAACAUAAGAGAGUCGAGUAUGAGGGUACAUUUGUGAUCUCAAAGCUUCUGUGGAAGUCAAUGCUAUGUGCGGUAUUUUUUUCCAGAAGUUCCAUUCCCCAGAGGUUAUUCAGUCUAUACUUUUUCAGUGUACGUCUCUCAAGGCUGGUUGUUUCGGGAAUGAAAUAAGUACAUCUUGGAUGUAA
rnacentral:lncRNA from 1 species